AGAUGGCUACUGAGUUCAAUCGAAUCUGUGAAUUGAUGUCUGUCAUUGACGAGGAUGAUACUACCUCAACUCGGAGAGCCUGCAUUCUCAAAUCACUUUCUGUGUAUCUUAAUGAAGACAAUGAGAAGCUCAUGAAGGAAUAUAUAAACCUGGUACCUGUUAUGAUUUGGGGAGCAGGAGAAGGCAGACGGGUGGUUUGGAUCCAGAUGCGGUCUUUAUUUGAAAUAACACAAACACUGGGGCAAAUAAAAGGUCCACGAUGGGAAAAGGAAACUAAAAUAAAUGCUGGAUAACGUACAGGAGGAGUGCAGACAGCGAACAUACAAGAAGGGUAGGGAAAUCCUCGAACGGGCUAAGACCUGGGAACAAGAGCAGCAGGGAGAGAGGUUAACCAAGAACAUGUAACGUCAACGAUCGACAGCGUAAGGGGAAAACAGCGGGGUUUAAAUGGACAGACACGGUGAUAACAAAAUGACGAACAGAUGCGGACAAUAAAGCUGUGACAGCGCCGGGAAUGACGGGAAGUGAAGUUUCCACACGGACAGUGAGACUCAGGGCGGACAACAGGGAAAACGUGACAUGGAACGGGAUUAGUGCUGGGUGAAACAGAAAACAUGGUGCAGACGACACGAAACCGUGACAGUACCCAUCAGCAAUCAGAACAUCAUGCACAUUGUGUUUUUAAAUAAUAAUGUAAUAUAGUGUAAUUUAGUAAGUAAAUAUGUAACAAAUAAGUUGGUAAGUAAAUAUAGUAAUUUAAUUUAAAUUUAGAUUCAUCAGUUGAACAAAGCCAUUGUUUCUGUUACAAUAAUAUUUAUUUUGUGAUUUGGAACAGAUUGACAGAUUUUUCACCCUAAAAUGAAAAUAUGAAACUCUUCAGAC